ACAGUCGUUUGUAACUAACGGUGCUGUAUGUAUUAUUCAUUAAUACGUGUUGUAGCUUAGAACAUUAUCAAAUAGCAGUAAUGGCAGUGAAAAUUGUGCUUAAUAUACGUAGAGAAUUUCUCCAUGAAAUAGGUGAGAAUAUUGAACGAGAAAAUGUUUUUACUAUAGAUUUGAAUCCACCUACAAAUGAUAAUUUGCCUUUUCCAAAUACCACCCAUGUAAUACCCGUACGUAACUUUAGUAGAACCUUGAGAACAGAACGAACAGAAGAUUCAAUCGAAUUAGGCGGACCUAUAGAGGAGCAGGAACAAAAUCUAAGAAGAAAUAGAAGGCGAUCAAUUAAUCGAGCACGUGAAAAAUCCAGAUCUAAAUCACGAAGCCACUCCCGAGGAAGAUCAAGGGGAAGAUCACGAGGUCGAUCUCGAGGAAGAUCCAGGGGAAGAUCACGAGGUCGAUCUCGAGGAAGAUCCAGAGGACACUCUCGAGGAAGAUCCAGAGGACACUCUCGAGGAAGAUCCCGAGAAAGAUCCCGAGGUCACUCCCGAGGAAAAUCACGAGGUCACUCUCGAGAAAAAUCCCGGGGAAGAUCACGAUGACCUCGUGGAAAUUCCAGAGAAAAAUCACGAGAUCGGUGUCGUUAGCUCUAAGACAAGAUCCCGUGAUUGAGAUUACCGACGGACUAAAAGCCUAAUUCGAUGUUGAACUUGCAUUCAGCAAAUUAAUUGAAAACAAAAAAAAAAUUAAGAGUUCUAAUUAUUUUAGUUUGUAGUGUUUGUUGAAAUAAAAUUAUAUUGAAGUGAAUACAUUUAUCUUGUAUAUUUUACAAUCGCGGCAUACAUCCAAUACUUCGAGCCAGAAAUCGCAAUAGUCCAAAGGAAGAAACAUGAAUUACAAUUGUCAGAUCUAAAGGAAACCAUAGAAGAAUCAUUGCAUAGGACAUGGUUACUCAAGGCUACAAGAAGAUGGCUCCAAAGAGGAGAAAUGCCGUAUCCUGGAUACUGUAGGUCACCAGGCAGCGAAGUAUGCCUACCGGUUUUGUGCAACUGUGCAAAGUUGACAGAAAUAUGGAAAAAGAUAAAAAAAAAACGAAAACCUAGCUAAGUAAAUUUACAUCUAUCAUAUAUAAAAUAAAGAUGUAAUUAUAAAAUAAAAA